rnacentral:rRNA from 1 species
UGGCUCAGGACGAACGCUGGCGGCGUGCCUAAUACAUGCAAGUAGAACGCUGAAGAGAGGAGCUUGCUCUUCUUGGAUGAGUUGCGAACGGGUGAGUAACGCGUAGGUAACCUGCCUUGUAGCGGGGGAUAACUAUUGGAAACGAUAGCUAAUACCGCAUAACAAUGGAUGACCCAUGUCAUUUAUUUGAAAGGGGCAAAUGCUCCACUACAAGAUGGACCUGCGUUGUAUUAGCUAGUAGGUGAGGUAACGGCUCACCUAGGCGACGAUACAUAGCCGACCUGGGAGGGUGAUCGGCCACACUGGGACUGAGACACGGCCCAGACUCCUACGGGAGGCAGCAGUAGGGAAUCUUCGGCAAUGGGGGCAACCCUGACCGAGCAACGCCGCGUGAGUGAAGAAGGUUUUCGGAUCGUAAAGCUCUGUUGUAAGUCAAGAACGAGUGUGAGAGUGGAAAGUUCACACUGUGACGGUAGCUUACCAGAAAGGGACGGCUAACUACGUGCCAGCAGCCGCGGUAAUACGUAGGUCCCGAGCGUUGUCCGGAUUUAUUGGGCGUAAAGCGAGCGCAGGCGGUUUGAUAAGUCUGAAGUUAAAGGCUGUGGCUCAACCAUAGUUCGCUUUGGAAACUGUCAAACUUGAGUGCAGAAGGGGAGAGUGGAAUUCCAUGUGUAGCGGUGAAAUGCGUAGAUAUAUGGAGGAACACCGGUGGCGAAAGCGGCUCUCUGGUCUGUAACUGACGCUGAGGCUCGAAAGCGUGGGGAGCGAACAGGAUUAGAUACCCUGGUAGUCCACGCCGUAAACGAUGAGUGCUAGGUGUUGGAUCCUUUCCGGGAUUCAGUGCCGCAGCUAACGCAUUAAGCACUCCGCCUGGGGAGUACGACCGCAAGGUUGAAACUCAAAGGAAUUGACGGGGGCCCGCACAAGCGGUGGAGCAUGUGGUUUAAUUCGAAGCAACGCGAAGAACCUUACCAGGUCUUGACAUCCCGAUGCUAUUUCUAGAGAUAGAAAGUUACUUCGGUACAUCGGUGACAGGUGGUGCAUGGUUGUCGUCAGCUCGUGUCGUGAGAUGUUGGGUUAAGUCCCGCAACGAGCGCAACCCCUAUUGUUAGUUGCCAUCAUUCAGUUGGGCACUCUAGCGAGACUGCCGGUAAUAAACCGGAGGAAGGUGGGGAUGACGUCAAAUCAUCAUGCCCCUUAUGACCUGGGCUACACACGUGCUACAAUGGUUGGUACAACGAGUUGCGAGUCGGUGACGGCAAGCUAAUCUCUUAAAGCCAAUCUCAGUUCGGAUUGUAGGCUGCAACUCGCCUACAUGAAGUCGGAAUCGCUAGUAAUCGCGGAUCAGCACGCCGCGGUGAAUACGUUCCCGGGCCUUGUACACACCGCCCGUCACACCACGAGAGUUUGUAACACCCGAAGUCGGUGAGGUAACCUUUUGGAGCCAGCCGCCUAAGGUGGGAUAGAUGAU